UACAGUGGCGUACGGGUGAGUAACACGUGACUAACCUACCCUCGAGUGGGGAAUAAACCUCGGGAAACCGGGGCUAAUACCGCAUAACAUCUACGGAUCAAAUGCGUAAGCAGCUUGAGGAGGGGGUCGCGGCCGAUUAGCUAGUUGGUGAGGUGAUGGCUCACCAAGGCAAUGAUCGGUAGCCGGCCUGAGAGGGCGCACGGCCACACUGGAACUGAAACACGGUCCAG
rnacentral:rRNA from 1 species